rnacentral:rRNA from 1 species
GCGCAGCAGGCGCGAAACCUCCGCAAUGCUCGAAAGAGCGACGGGGGGACUCCAAGUGCCUACGCUCAGCGUAGGCUGUUCCCGAGCCUAAAAAGCUCGGGGAGUAAGGGCUGGGUAAGACGGGUGCCAGCCGCCGCGGUAAUACCCGCAGCCCGAGUGGUGGCCGCUAUUAUUGGGCCUAAAGCGUCCGUAGCCGGCUCGGUAAAUGCCUGGGUAAAUCGUCUGGCCCAACCAGACGAAUUCCGGGUAGACUGCCGGGCUAGGGGACCGGAGGAGGGAGAGGGGUACUCCAGGGGUAGGGGUGAAAUCAGCAAGGUGAGUUGCUGAUGUAACUUGCCUUGCAAGUCACAAUCCUGUAAUCCCUGGAGGACCACCGGUGGCGAAGGCGCUCGUCCUAGGACGGGUCCGACGGUGAGGGACGAAAGCCAGGGGAGCAAACCGGAUU